rnacentral:rRNA from 1 species
AUGAAGAAGUUCAGCAUGAGCAAUCUGGGAUUACUCAGCUAUUACUUGGGCAUCGAAGUGAAGCAAAGCUCCGGAGAGAUUUCCCUAUGUCAAUCGGCUUACGCGGUCAAGUUAUUGGACAAGUGUGGCAUGACAGAUUGCUACGAGACACAAGCUCCAAUGGACCAACGUCACAAAUUGAGCAAGCGUAGCUCAAAUCCGCCGGUGGACGCCACAAUGUAUCGAAGCGUUGUGGGCAGCCUAAGAUAUUUGGUGCAUACCCGACCUGACUUGGCUUAUUCUGUCGGGAUCGUGAGUCGUUUCAUGGAGAAUCCGACAACCGAACACAUGAGCGCGGUCAAGCAAAUCUUGUGCUAUGUGAAAGGCACUAUUAAUCUUGGUUGCACGUACAGAAAGGGAAAUGAAGGAUUGGUCCUUCGUGGAUACUCAGAUAGUGACAUGGCAGGUGAUGUGGAUGACCGAAAAAGCACAACGGGCAUGGUAUUCUACCUUGGCCCAAAUCCUAUCAGCUGGAAUUCUCAGAAGCAAAAGGUGGUUGCGCUGUCUUCAUGCGAGGCAGAAUACAUAGCGGCAAGCACGGCGGCUUGUCAAGCAGUGUGGCUGAGAAGACUCCUAGCUGAUCUUGCAAAGCGGGAGGUGCAGAAGGUGUCAUUGAAGAUCGACAACCAAGCUGCAAUCUCAUUGUGCAAGAAUCCGGUUCAUCACGAGAGGAGCAAGCACAUAGACACCUGGUUCCACCACAUCCGGAAGUGCAUUGAGGAAGGGAUGACCGAGGUCCAGCACGUGAACACGAAAGACCAGCUUGCCGAUAUUCUUACGAAGUCUCUCGGACGACAGAAAUUCUUGGAGAUGCGAGAAAGGAUCGGCGUCCAAACUAUGAAGUGA